AACGAACGCUGGCGGCAGGCCUAACACAUGCAAGUCGAGCGCCCUUUCGGGGGAGCGGCGGACGGGUGAGUAACGCGUGGGAAUAUGCCCUUCUCUACGGAAUAGCCUUGGGAAACUGAGAGUAAUACCGUAUACGCCCUGUGGGGGAAAGAUUUAUCUGGGAAGGAUUAGCCCGCGUUGGAUUAGGUAGUUGGUGGGGUCAUGGCCUACCAAGCCGACGAUCCAUAGCUGGUGUGAGAGGAUGAUCCGCCACACUGGGACUGAGACACGGCCCGGACUCCUACGGGAGGCAGCAGUGGGGAAUCGUGGACAAUGGGGGCAACCCUGAACUAGCCAUGACGCGUGAGUGAUGAAGGCCUGAGGGUUGUAAAGCUCUUUCAGCUGGGAAGAUAAUGACGGUACCAGCAGAAGAAGCCCCGGCUAACUCCGUG
rnacentral:rRNA from 1 species